rnacentral:rRNA from 1 species
UACGGAGGGGGCGAGCGUUUAUUCGGAAUUAUUGGGCGUAAAGGGCGCGUAGGCGGCUUGACAAGUCAAAGGUGAAAUCCCUCGGCUCAACUGAGGAACUGCCUUUGAAACUGUCAGGCUUGAGGCCGGGAGGGGGUAGCGGAAUUCCCAGUGUAGCGGUGAAAUGCGUAGAUAUUGGGAGGAACACCAGUGGCGAAGGCGGCUACCUGGACCGGUACUGACGCUGAUGCGCGAAAGCGUGGGUAGCAAACAGG